rnacentral:rRNA from 1 species
CCUACGGGUGGCAGCAGUGGGGAAUAUUGGACAAUGGGGGAAACCCUGAUCCAGCGACGCCGCGUGAGUGAAGAAGGAUCUCGGUAUGUUAAGCCCUAUCAGCAGGGAAGAAAAUGACGUUACCUGACUAAGAAGCCCCGUCUAACUACGUGCCAGCAGCCGUGGGUAUAUGGAGGGAGCAAGCGUUAUCCGGAAUUACUGGGUGUAAAGGGAGCGUAGACGGCAGCGCAAGUCUGGAGGUAAAAGACGGGGGCCCAACCCGGAACUGCCAUUGAAACUGUGAAGCUAGAGAACAGGAGAGGUAGGCGGAAUAAGUUGAGUAGCGGUGAAAUGCAUAGAUAUAA